UACGGAGGGUGCGAGCGUUGAUCGGAAUUACUGGGCGUAAAGCGUCCGUAGGCGGCUUGUUAAGUCUGAUGUGAAAGCCCUGGGCUUAACCUGGGAAUGGCAUUGGAUACUGGCGAGCUAGAGUUCGGUAGAGGGUGGUGGAAUUCCCGGUGUAGCGGUGAAAUGCGUAGAGAUCGGGAGGAACACCGGUGGCGAAGGCGGUCACCUGGACCGAGACUGACGCUGAGGGACGAAAGCGUGGGGAGCAAACAGG
rnacentral:rRNA from 1 species